UACGAGGGGGGCGAGCGUUGUUCGGAAUUAUUGGGCGUAAAGGGUGCGUAGGCGGCCUGACAAGUCUGAUGUGAAAUCCCUGGGCUCAACCCAGGGCCUGCAUCGGAAACUGUCGGGCUUGAGUGUGGGAGAGGUGAGUGGAACUCCGAGUGUAGAGGUGAAAUUCGUAGAUAUUCGGAAGAACACCAGUGGCGAAGGCGACUCACUGGCCCAUUACUGACGCUGAGGCGCGAAAGCGUGGGGAGCAAACAGG
rnacentral:rRNA from 1 species